CCUACGGGGGGCUGCAGUGAGGAAUAUUGGUCAAUGGGAGAGAUCCUGAACCAGCCAAGCCGCGUGAGUGAAGACGGCCCUCUGGUUGUAAACUUCUUUUAUAUGGGAAUAAAAUGUUUCACGUGUGGGAUUUUGUAUGUACCAUAUGAAUAAGGAUCGGCUAACUCCGUGCCAGCAGCCGCGGUAAUACGGAGGAUCCGAGCGUUAUCCGGAUUUAUUGGGUUUAAAGGGAGCGUAGGUGGAUUGUUAAGUCAGUUGUGAAAGUUUGCGGCUCAACCGUAAAAUUGCAGUUGAAACUGGCAGUCUUGAGUACAGUAGAGGUGGGCGGAAUUCGUGGUGUAGCGGUGAAAUGCUUAGAUAUGACGAAGAACUCCGAUUGCGAAGGCAGUUCACUGGACUGCAACUGACACUGAGGCUCGAAAGUGUGGGUAUCAAACAGGAUUAGAUACCCUAGUAGUC
rnacentral:rRNA from 1 species